rnacentral:sRNA from 1 species
AACCUCCAGCUAGGCUUGGGGCAGUGAAGCUUUUAGCUAUGGGCCAGUUAUCAAACCCCUCUCAAUUUGUUAAAAUAGCUUGAGGUUAGCGACUACAAGAGUUAACAAAAAACUGAAAA